rnacentral:rRNA from 1 species
AGAGUUUGAUCCUGGCUCAGGAUGAACGCUAGCUACAGGCUUAACACAUGCAAGUCGAGGGGCAGCGAGAAGGAAGCUUGCUUUCUUUGUCGGCGACCGGCGCACGGGUGAGUAACGCGUAUCCAACCUUCCCCUUAGUAGGGCAUAGCCCGGCGAAAGUCGGAUUAAUACCCUAUGUUAUCCGAAGAGGACAUCUGAAUUGGAUUAAAGAUUUAUCGCUAAGGGAUGGGGAUGCGUCUGAUUAGGUAGUCGGCGGGGUAACGGCCCACCGAGCCUGCGAUCAGUAGGGGUUCUGAGAGGAAGGUCCCCCACAUUGGAACUGAGACACGGUCCAAACUCCUACGGGAGGCAGCAGUGAGGAAUAUUGGUCAAUGGGCGCGAGCCUGAACCAGCCAAGUAGCGUGCAGGAUGACGGCCCUAUGGGUUGUAAACUGCUUUUAUGCGGGGAUAAAGUGCACCACGUGUGGUGUUUUGUAGGUACCGCAUGAAUAAGGACCGGCUAAUUCCGUGCCAGCAGCCGCGGUAAUACGGAAGGUCCGGGCGUUAUCCGGAUUUAUUGGGUUUAAAGGGAGCGCAGGCUGAUUGUUAAGCGUGACGUGAAAUGUAGCCGCUCAACGGCUGAACUGCGUCGCGAACUGGCAGUCUUGAGUGAGUACGACGUCAGCGGAAUUCGUGGUGUAGCGGUGAAAUGCUUAGAUAUCACGAAGAACCCCGAUUGCGAAGGCAGCUGACGAGUCCUUUACUGACGCUAAAGCUCGAAGGUGCGGGUAUCGAACAGGAUUAGAUACCCUGGUAGUCCGCACGGUAAACGAUGGAUGCCCGCUGUUGGCGAUACAGUGUCAGCGGCCAAGCGAAAGCGUUAAGCAUCCCACCUGGGGAGUACGCCGGCAACGGUGAAACUCAAAGGAAUUGACGGGGGCCCGCACAAGCGGAGGAACAUGUGGUUUAAUUCGAUGAUACGCGAGGAACCUUACCCGGGCUUGAACUGCAGGGGAACGAUAGAGAGAUCUUGAGGUCAGCAAUGACCCCUGUGGAGGUGCUGCAUGGUUGUCGUCAGCUCGUGCC